CACUGCCUGGCUGCUUCUUGUUUGAAAUAAAAGAAAAUGGCUCAACUUCCCUAAAGGAAUAGUUUUGUUUGUAAACAUUUAGUUUUUUUGCUUCUGGGUAGAGGCAGUGGGAAAGAUGGCCCAGAGGGGAUAAAUUGGCCUCCCAGCUGUCAACAGUAUGACGAUUAGAGCUCUGUACAGGAAUAAAUGCUAGUCAGAGGCAGGACUUACAUCAUCAAAUGUGUUAGUAGUUGAUAUAUAUAUAUAUAUAUUUUUUUUUAGCAGAUGUGGUGCUGUGUCCAGGAUGAUAAUGAAUUCAAGCUCUGGAGCUUGAGAUGAACUGGUCAGACUUCCAGAAGAAAGUUUUUUUCCAGGUAAAGCCAGCGAAAUUACUUGACGGUGAGUAAACCUGAUGUUUCUAAUAGUGUCCUCAGAUCUACCAUUACCUGCCAGACUGUCCCCUUAUGAACAAAAGGACAGGCUGUUGCACAGUAGCCCUGUGGUUCGUUACCGUUGCUGUAGGUACUUAACAUGGCUACCUGAACUUAAACUGGGAGGGUAGCCAUUAGGAAAUAGAAACCUACUUCCAGUAUUUCUUAGGAAUCUUGUCAUUUGGAGACUCUAUUCCUAAUUCCUCCCUAAAUGGCCAACCACCAUGUGCAAGGGAACAGCUGUCACACAUAAGCCCAGCCUGAGCUGUGCAGUGGUAGUACACACCUUUAAUCUUGGCAGAGGCAGGUGGAUUUCUGAGUUUGAGGCCAGCCCAUUCUACAGAGCAAAUUCCAGAACAGCUAAGGCUAUGCAGAGAAUCCAAAACACUCCAGGCUGAUUGUGUCAGGCACAGAGCUUUCCUGAGUACUCAGCCUUGGGCCUACUCCGUUCCACAGACACAACGGCCACAGACACAACGGCUGUGCUAUGAUAAAGUCAGCUAGGCUUCUGUUUUCCUGUCAGAGAACUGGCCUCUCAGAAUCGUGCGACCAGCAGUCUGCUAGUCCAGCUGAUGUGCUUAGAAGGCUCUGCCCCUGCUGCAGCAUCUUCUCCCUUGUCCUGGGUGCUCUCCUCCCCCAUGACUUGAGCUAUAUAAGCUAGUCCUGCUAGUUCAAUAGUUGAGCUAUUCUUUGAAACAGUCUCCUAAGUCAUUCAUACCUGCUGCACCCCAGUCUAAGACCUCGCUCCACAUUUCCUCUGUAUCCUAAUACCACCAGUGUUCCGCGCUACCUCCCGCCAGCAGGAACAACGCGGCACACACAGGAUCCUUCUGCAGUACAAGCUUUAAUGCAUCUUGAGAGUGAGAUCACAAGCUUCA